rnacentral:tRNA from 3 species
GGGAGUGUGACGAAGCGGAAGACGUGGCGGCCUGAUAAGCCGUUGCUUUAUAGCAUCGCGGGUUCGAUUUCUGCCCUCCCACCA